ACACACACACACACACACACACACAAAAUUUAUUACCUGCCCUUCACCCUAAGGUCCCAGGGUGGGUUACAGCAUUAAAAAUAAUUUCAAAAACAAUUAAAAAGAAUGUGUGUGUGUGUGUGUGUGUGCGU